AAGUGAAGUGGUGGUGAUGAUCGACGGCGGGGUUUAAAGGUGGAUAGGUAUUCGGUCUCGCCGUUGACGAUUGGCCCAUCUCGAUGUGUAUUGUAAAAGUUGAGCAGUCUCGGUAGGAUCGCUCCGCUGUCUCCACGGCAUCUUGUAUUCUAAGAAUAAGAAAUACAAGGUUUAUUUACUUGUCUGGCUAGAUAUUAAAUAAUUUAUCCUAGAGAAUAGAGAUCACUUAAAACUACUUUUUAUGAAG
rnacentral:misc_RNA from 1 species